GUUCUUGGUACCUGCCGAGACAGCGUCUAUACACAGCUGGAGCAUACGGCGAAGAUUAGCAGGGCCCCUGUGCAAGGAUGCCCCACACAUUCGUGAAGAGUUCCAUACUGUU
ensembl:snRNA U6 U6 spliceosomal RNA